rnacentral:hammerhead_ribozyme from 1 species
CCACUGUCGCGAAGUGUGCACUUCGCCCGAUGAGUCCGAAAGGACGAAACAGAAG